rnacentral:rRNA from 1 species
GAUGAACGCUGGCGGCGUGCCUAAUACAUGCAAGUCGAGCGAACGGACGAGAAGCUUGCUUUUCUGAUGUUAGCGGCGGACGGGUGAGUAACACGUGGAUAACCUACCUAUAAGACUGGGAUAACUUCGGGAAACCGGAGCUAAUACCGGAUAAUAUUUUGAACCGCAUGGUUCAAAAGUGAAAGACGGUCUUGCUGUCACUUAUAGAUGGAUCCGCGCUGCAUUAGCUAGUUGGUAAGGUAACGGCUUACCAAGGCAACGAUGCAUAGCCGACCUGAGAGGGUGGUCGGCCACACUGGAACUGAGACACGGUCCAGACUCCUACGGGAGGCAGCAGUAGGGAAUCUUCCGCAAUGGGCGAAAGCCUGACGGAGCCACGCCGCGUGAGUGAUGAAGGUCUUCGGAUCGUAAAACUCUGUUAUUAGGGAAGAACAUAUGUGUAAGUAACUGUGCACAUCUUGACGGUACCUAAUCAGAAAGCCACGGCUAACUACGUG